rnacentral:SRP_RNA from 1 species
GCCGGGCGUGGUGCCGCGCACCUGUAAUCCCAGCUACUUGGGAGGCUGAGGCAGGAGAAUCGUUUGAAUCCAGGAGGCGGACGUUACAGUGAGCCGAGAUCACGCCACUGCACUCCAGCCUGGGUGACAGAGUGAGAUUCUGUCUCAA